AUUGAACGCUGGCGGCAUGCUUUACACAUGCAAGUCGAACGGUAACAGGCCGCAAGGUGCUGACGAGUGGCGAACGGGUGAGUAAGGCAUCGGAACGUGCCUAGUCGUGGGGGAUAACGCAGCGAAAGCUGCGCUAAUACCGCAUACGAUCUCUGGAUGAAAGCGGGGGACCGAAAGGCCUCGCGCGAUUGGAGCGGCCGAUGUCAGAUUAGGUAGUUGGUGGGGUAAAGGCCCACCAAGCCAACGAUCUGUAGCUGGUCUGAGAGGACGACCAGCCACACUGGGACUGAGACGCGGCCCAGACUCCUACGGGAGGCAGCAGUGGGGAAUUUUGGACAAUGGGCGCAAGCCUGAUCCAGCAAUGCCGCGUGCAGGAAGAAGGCCUUCGGGUUGUAAACUGCUUUUGUACGGAACGAAACGGUCCGGGUUAAUACCCUGGGCUAAUGACGGUACCGUAAGAAUAAGCACCGGCUAACUACGUGCCAGCCGCCGCCGUAAGAC
rnacentral:rRNA from 1 species